UCAGAACGAACGCUGGUAGCGUGGAUUAGGCAUGCAAGUCGAACGGGAUCCGGGAGGUAGCAAUACUUCCUGGUGAGAGUGGCGGAUGGGGAGGAACACGUGAGCAACCUGCCUUGGAGUCGGGGAAAACCGUUGGAAACGACGGCUAAUACCGGAUGUGGCGCCCGGUGACAUCACCGGAGCGCUAAAGGGGGCCGCAAGGCUCUCGCUCCUAGAGGGGCUCGCGCACCAUCAGCUUGUUGGCGGGUAACGGCCCACCAAGGCCUACGGUUAGCUGGUCUGAGAGGAUGACCAGCCCCACUGGGACUGAGAUACUGCCCAGACUCCUACGGGAGGCUGCAGUCGAGGAUCAUUUGCAAUGGGCGAAAGCCUGACAAUGCGACGCUGCGUGGAGGAUGAAGGCCUUCGGGUUGUAAACUCCUGUCAUGGGGGAACAGGCGAGGAUACCUAAUACGUAUCUUAGUUGAGUGUACCCCAAGAGGAAUUGGCGGCUAACUCUGUGCCAGCAGCGGC
rnacentral:rRNA from 1 species